rnacentral:rRNA from 1 species
AGCGAACGCUGGCGGCAGGCUUAACACAUGCAAGUCGAGCGGGCAUCCUUGUGGUGUCAGCGGCAGACGGGUGAGUAACGCAUGGGAACGUGCCCUUCGGUUCGGAAUAACUCAGGGAAACUUGAGCUAAUACCGGAUACGUGCGAGAGCAGAAAGGUUUAUCUGCCGAAGGAUCGGCCCGCGUCUGAUUAGCUAGUUGGUGAGGUUAUGGCUCACCAAGGCGACGAUCAGUAGCUGGUCUGAGAGGAUGAUCAGCCACACUGGGACUGAGACACGGCCCAGACUCCUACGGGAGGCAGCAGUGGGGAAUAUUGGACAAUGGGGGCAACCCUGAUCCAGCCAUGCCGCGUGAGUGAUGACGGCCUUAGGGUUGUAAAGCUCUUUUCUCCGGGACGAUAAUGACGGUACCGGAGGAAUAAGCCCCGGCUAACUUCGUG